rnacentral:rRNA from 1 species
UGAACGCUAGCGACAGGCCUAACACAUGCAAGUCGAGGGCAGCACAAGGAGCAAUCUGAGGUGGCGACCGGCGCACGGGUGAGUAACACGUAUGCAACCUGCCUGUAAGCGGGGAAUAACCCGUUGAAAGACGGACUAAUACCGCAUAAUACUAAAUUACUGCAUGGUAAUUUAUUUAAACAUUUAUGGCUUACAGAUGGGCAUGCGCAUGAUUAGCUAGUUGGAGAGGUAACGGCUCCCCAAGGCAACGAUCAUUAGGGGUUCUGAGAGGAAGGUCCCCCCACACUGGUACUGAGACACGGACCAGACUCCUACGGGAGGCAGCAGUGAGGAAUAUUGGUCAAUGGACGAGAGUCUGAACCAGCCAAGUCGCGUGCAGGAAGAAUUGUCCUAUGGAUUGUAAACUGCUUUUGCAGGGGAAUAAAGUGCAUCACGUGUGAUGUUUUGUAUGUACUCUGCGAAUAAGGAUCGGCUAACUCCGUGCCAGCCGCCGC